rnacentral:tRNA from 1 species
GCUGCUGUAGCUCAAUCGGUAGAGCGCGUCCUUGGUAAGGACGAGGUAGGCGGUUCAAUCCCGCCCAGCAGCUCCA